CUCAGAUAUAAUGAACUUUUGAAUAUGACGUCACCCCUUCCCCCCAAUUAGUUUGUUAAAGAGAGUGUUUACUGUAUUGUAUCGUAUAUAUAUUACAAUAUGGUGCUGGUCCAGUAGUAUAUGAUAGACAUGUACUACAGGUCAUAAAACCACCAACAAAACAUCUUAUUAACCCGGUAGCAGCGACGGGCCAAAUUUGUGGCUUUACCGUGUAGCUGCGACGGGCCAAAUUUGUGGCUUUACCGUGUAGCUGCGACGGGCCAAAUUUGUGGCUUUACCGUGUAGCUGCGACGGGCCAAAUUUGUGGCUUUACCGUGUAGCAGCGACGGGCCAAAUUUGUGCCAUGAUAUAAACUCCCCAAAAUAGAUGAUACAUGAUCUGAUCACAAAUGCUUUGAUAUAUAUUAUGAAAUGGUUUGUGUGAGGGGUGAUUUUUUCUCAUUUUUCUCGCUUGGAGGGACCAUUAAGAAACAUGAUCCGCACUGCUACCGGGUUAAAAUUGGUCAAAGUCAGGAUAGUAUUUAUUUAUUUAUUUAUUUAUUUAUCUAUUUAUUUGUUUUAAAAUAUAGCACUUGAAAAUGGGGUGGGUCUUCAACACCGGCAAAUAUGGUACUCACGUAGGUUCAGUUUGGAUUCAUAUUAUUUCAGAAAAAAAUAUGAUGGGAGGGUUUGAAAUGGGGAAAAUGGCUGAAAGUCCUCAGGUGACAGCACAAAUUAACUUUUAGUAUCUAUAUUUCAGUGUCACACAAAUACGUUUCCACUAAUAAUGAUGCUUUCAGGCACCAAUUAGAUGUUUCUGGUGAGAUUCUACUAUACAUAUAUAUCUGGUAAACUUGUCUUGGGGUGGUUAUCAGGUAUAUCAAUGGAAACGAUGGAGGAAGGGAGGGAAGAGGGAAUAAUUAAAACUUAGGAAAAAAGGGGUAAAGCUUGUUGCUAGAAAUUUAAAAGUUCCACACUGCAACAUUCUUCAUUCUACUCCAGGCUGGGUUAUUCAUCACUAAAACCUCUCAUUAGUCCCAUGCAGGAAACACACUUCCUUUCAUGAUGAACUCCAUCAGACACUAGUGGUUAGCACACUCGGCUCACAACCGAGAGAGCCCGGGUUCGAUUCCCGGGCGGAGUGGAAAAAUUUGGGCGGCUUUUCCGAUACCCUACGCCCCUGUCCACUUACCAGUGAAUGGGUACCAGGUAUUAAUCGGGGGUUGUGUCCCGUCUCCUGGGAUCUGUUCCUUCCCCUUCUGUCUCUCUCCGGCAUAUGACCACAGAUGUUGCGCCGACUAAACCAAACUUUCCAACUUUUCCAUCAGACACAAAACACCUGGCAACCACUUGACCGUGCAAUAAUAUGAAUCUUUUAAUGUUUAAUAUUGUACAUUAUGGUGUAAAAAAUUGAGUAAUGUUAUGAAUUCAUCAUGUUUUUUUUUUGUAAUUUGUAAUUAUUUAGAUUAUAAGAAGACCUAAAAGAAAAAAAUGAUAUAUGUUGAUAUUUGUAGUAGAAAUGGUUUUGUCACCUUGUUCACCCCUUCAGAAAGAAAGAGUAUCAUAAUGAUGACUCCAGGAGAUGAUUAUCUGUACAGUAUAGUGAGAAAUAAAUUGUGAUCCCUU